rnacentral:misc_RNA from 1 species
AAGUCGUAACAAGAUUUCCGUAGGUGAACCUGCGGAAGAGUCAUUAACACGUAUCCAAACGUUAAAACCCUCCCCGUGAACCUUCAUCCUGCUCUUGUAACCCGCGUAGUUCGCAAUCUCUGAUAAAUCAUAGCCCGGAAAGUUGAAGUGAUUCAGAGACCUCUGGCUACGUGCGAACAUUAGAACAGUUACAAUCGAGCGGUAGUUCUAUAGGCAAGCAGUCAGUGUCAGAAAGUGUCAUGGAUUGUGCAAGGAUAGCGCUUCUAGAGCUUACACUUGGGCAGGAGCUUUGCCAAAGGGUCCCCAUGCCCCCUAAUAACCCCACAGUUUAAUGUGAAAUACAUUGGGUAAAAAAACCGAACAACUGUUAACAAUGGAUAUCUUGGUGCUG